rnacentral:rRNA from 1 species
GUCCACGCCGUAAACGAUGGAUGCUAGCCGUUGGCGGGUUUACUCGUCAGUGGCGCAGCUAACGCAUUAAGCAUCCCGCCUGGGGAGUACGGUCGCAAGAUUAAAACUCAAAGGAAUUGACGGGGGCCCCCACAAGCGGUGGAGCAUGUGGUUCAAUUCGAAGCAACGCGCAGAACCUUACCAACCUUUGACAUCCCGAUCGCGGGCACCAGAGAUGGAGCCCUUCAGUUCGGCUGGAUCGGAGACAGGUGCUGCAUGGCUGUCGU